rnacentral:rRNA from 1 species
UGGGGAAUAUUGGACAAUGGGCGAAAGCCUGAUCCAGCCAUGCCGCGUGUGUGAAGAAGGUCUUCGGAUUGUAAAGCACGUUAAGUUGGGAGGAAGGGCAUUAACCUAAUACGUUAGUGUUUUGACGUUACCGACAGAAUAAGCACCGGCUACCUCUGUGCCAGCAGCCGCGGUAAUACAGAGGGUGCAAGCGUUAAUCGGAAUUACUGGGCGUAAAGCGCGCGUAGGUGGUUUGUUAAGUUGGAUGUGAAAUCCCCGGGCUCAACCUGGGAACUGCAUUCAAAACUGACUGACUAGAGUAUGGUAGAGGGUGGUGGAAUUUCCUGUGUAGCGGUGAAAUGCGUAGAUAUAGGAAGGAACACCAGUGGCGAAGGCGACCACCUGGACUAAUACUGACACUGAGGUGCGAAAGCGUGGGGAGCAAACA